GAUGAACGCUAGCGGCAGGCCUAAUACAUGCAAGUCGAACGAGAUUAAGAGGCUUGCUUCUUAUGAAAGUGGCGCACGGGUGCGUAACGCGUAUGCAACCUACCUUAAUCAGGGGGAUAGCCCGAAGAAAUUCGGAUUAAGACCGUAUAAAAACACAGGAUAGCAUUAUCCAAUGUUCAAAUAUUUAUAGGAUUAAGAUGGGCAUGCGUGUCAUUAGCUAGUUGGCGGGGUAACGGCCCACCAAGGCGACGAUGACUAGGGGAUCUGAGAGGAUGACCCCCCACACUGGUACUGAGACACGGACCAGACUCCUACGGGAGGCAGCAGUAAGGAAUAUUGGUCAAUGGAGGGAACUCUGAACCAGCCAUGCCGCGUGCAGGAAGACAGCCCUCUGGGUCGUAAACUGCUUUUAGUCGGGAAUAAACCUUUCUACGUGUAGGAAGCUGAAUGUACCGAAGGAAUAAGGAUCGGCUAACUCCGUG
rnacentral:rRNA from 1 species